UUUUAUGGCGGCUGUGCGCAGGGCACCCUCGGGUGCGCCGGAUUCCUUGUGGCCGGUCGACUAACCUGCGUACAGCCGCCACCCUU
rfam:Pseudomonas brenneri strain RGCB 108 Contig004, whole genome shotgun sequence.